rnacentral:rRNA from 1 species
GCUAAAAAUCUAGCCUAUAAAUUUUUUAUGCCUCCCAUUUCUUAAUCAAAAUAAAUCAUUUUACCAUUUAAGUAAAGGCGAUUGAAAAAAUUCUUAGAGCCUCAACUAAAGUACCGCAAGGGAAAGAUGAAAUAUUAAUGAAACACUCUA